UACAGAGGGUGCAAGCGUUAAUCGGAAUUAUUGGGCGUAAAGAGCUCGUAGGCGGUGUGUCGCGUCGGCCGUGAAAACCUGCAGCUUAACUGUGGGCGUGCGGUCGAUACGGGCAUCACUGGAGUUCGGCAGGGGAGACUGGAAUUCCUGGUGUAGCGGUGAAAUGCGCAGAUAUCAGGAGGAACACCGGUGGCGAAGGCGGGUCUCUGGGCCGAUACUGACGCUGAGGAGCGAAAGCGUGGGGAGCAAACAGG
rnacentral:rRNA from 1 species